rnacentral:misc_RNA from 1 species
CUGGACCUCUCGGGGUUACAGCCUUGCUGAAUUAUUCACCCUUGUCUUUUGCGUACUUCUUGUUUCCUUGGUGGGUUCGCCCACCACUAGGACAAACAUAAACCUUUUGUAAUUGCAAUCAGCGUCAGUAACAAAUUAAUAAUU